GUUAAGCGACUAAGCGUACACGGUGGAUGCCCUGGCAGUCAGAGGCGAUGAAGGGCGUGCUAAUCUGCGAUAAGCGCCGGUAAGGUGAUAUGAACCGUUAUAACCGGCGAUACCCGAAUGGGGAAACCCAGUGUGAUUCGUCACACUAUCAUUAACUGAAUCCAUAGGUUAAUGAGGCGAACCGGGGGAACUGAAACAUCUAAGUACCCCGAGGAAAAGAAAUCAACCGAGAUUCCCCCAGUAGCGGCGAGCGAACGGGGAGGAGCCCAGAGCCUGAAUCAGCAUGUGUGUUAGUGGAAGCGUCUGGAAAGGCGCGCGAUACAGGGUGACAGCCCCGUACACAAAAGCGCAUGUGCUGUGAGCUCGAUGAGUAGGGCGGGACACGUGGUAUCCUGUCUGAAUAUGGGGGGACCAUCCUCCAAGGCUAAAUACUCCUGACUGACCGAUAGUGAACCAGUACCGUGAGGGAAAGGCGAAAAGAACCCCGGCGAGGGGAGUGAAAAAGAACCUGAAACCGUGUACGUACAAGCAGUGGGAGCCCCACCACUAAGCCAGUGGUGAACUCCACAUACGCAUCCUUUGCUGAGGAGACGGUUAACGGAGCGAAAGCGACGUUCAACCUCAAAACAAGCAGAGGGGGCUUAGUGGUGGGGUGACUGCGUACCUUUUGUAUAAUGGGUCAGCGACUUAUAUUCUGUAGCAAGGUUAACCGAAUAGGGGAGCCGGAGGGAAACCGAGUCUUAAUUGGGCGUUAAGUU
rnacentral:rRNA from 1 species